rnacentral:rRNA from 1 species
CCUAGUAAGCGCAAGUCAUCAGCUUGCGUUGAUUACGUCCCUGCCCUUUGUACACACCGCCCGUCGCUACUACCGAUUGAAUGGCUCAGUGAGACCUCCGGACUGGCCCAGAGAGGUGGGCAACUACCACUCAGGGCCGGAAAGUUGUUCAAACUCGGUCAUUUAGAGGAAGUAAAAGUCGUAACAAGGUCUCCGUUGGUGAACCAGCGGAGGGAUCAUUACCGAGUUAUUACUCCAAACCCUUUGUGAACCUUACCUAUGUUCUGUUGCCUCGGCGGGGAGGAAGCCCCCUUAAAAAGGGCCCAGCCCCCGCCGGCAGCACCAAACUCUUG